AACGAACGCUGGCGGCAGGCUUAACACAUGCAAGUCGAACGGUUGUAGCAAUACAGCAGUGGCAGACGGGUGAGUAACACGUGGGAACCUUCCUAGGGGUACGGAACAACUCAGGGAAACUUGAGCUAAUACCGUAUACGUCCGUGAGGAGAAAGAUUUAUCGCCCUUAGACGGGCCCGCGUCGGAUUAGCUAGUUGGUGGGGUAACGGCCUACCAAGGCGACGAUCCGUAGCUGAUCUUAGAGGAUGAUCAGCCACACUGGGACUGAGACACGGCCCAGACUCCUACGGGAGGCAGCAGUGGGGAAUCUUGGACAAUGGGCGCAAGCCUGAUCCAGCCAUGCCGCGUGAGUGAAGAAGGUCUUCGGAUUGUAAAGCUCUUUUACCAGGGACGAUAAUGACGGUACCUGGAGAAUAAGCCCCGGCAAACUUCGUGCCAGCAGCCGCGGUAAGAC
rnacentral:rRNA from 1 species